UACGGCCAUAGAAUAUGAAAAGCAUCGCGUCUCGUUUGCUCCGCGUAAUUAAGCCAUAUAUCGCUCGGUUAGUACCAUCGUGGGGGACCAGAUGGGAAUCCCGAGUGCUGUAGUU